UGUGUGUGUGUGUGUAUUACACGAGAAUACAUAGUUGUAUAUAUUAAAUUAUAAGCAGUGCUUACUAUUAACAUAUUCAAGGCCAGCUCUGGCUCCAAUUUCUCCCCGAACACGAUUAUUGAACCCUCUGAGCUACUCAAUGAUUGUGAAACACAGAGUUCUGUCUUCACUUCCUUCUCAUAGUCCUUCCGCCCUCUCCAGUCUCCACCUAUAUCUAACACACAAGCACACAUGCACACACUCGUGUGCACACACAUGCACAUGCACACAUGCACACAUGCACACACACACUCGCACACAUGAUUUCCUCUAAGCAUGGGCCCCCAUGCUAGAGGCUUGGUUUCUAUGGUGACUCCUGGGAGCUGGUGGAACCUUGGACGACAGAGCUCAGGAAAAGGACGCUGAGUCACUGAGGACAGUCCCUGGAAGGGACUACUGAGGGGCCAGUCUGACCCUCCCUUUGCUUACUGGUUUCUAUGGGGUGAGAAGCUUUGCUCCACAAGGCACACCCAUCGGUGAUGCUCUAUCUCGCUGUAGGCUCAGAAUCCCCAAGACUGUGAGUCAAAAUAAUCUCUUCUCCUGUGCAGAUUGCUUCCUGCAUUCUGACUUCUCAAUGGGACACAAUGGCUCCAACGGAAAGCACACAGAUACACUGAAUGGGUGAUGGCUUGGGGACCGCUUGGUGACAACGAUGUGCUGAGCUGGGUACGCAGCCUAUUUAAUGCAUUGCAACGUCUCCAUAUUUGCUGGCUUGGAGUGGAACAUACAGCACCCCCAGAGCUGGCACCCAGGCAAGCUUCAUGCCUUCGCCAUCUGCAGAGUUUCUACCUCAGGUCCCGUUCGCUUUACUGUAACUGCCUCUUUUACGUGGGUGCGGAGCCGAGCCCCAUCUUAAAGCCAUCUCUAUCCUGCUCCUGCUCCUGAUCGCCGCUGCUGGUCUGAAAUGACGGCUUGGUGUCUCUGCUUUUAAAUUUAUGUUUGAGCUCAGGGGUUGCUUCAAAUGCAUAUUUUCUUGAGUAACACGGUGCUGUUUUGCUAAGCUCAUUUCUGGUUUCACAGCCUCCCCCCACCCCAGUCUGUGCUCCGGUCCCCAUCCCCAGUACUUGUGACACCUCGCUCUCACUCUCCUCUCCCCCACAGCUGACUUGUCCUCAGCACACAGUCUGCUCUGCCUUCCAGCCCGCCUACUUUGAUUAAUUAAAUAAUUUGUUGACACACUCA
rnacentral:sRNA from 1 species